rnacentral:tRNA from 1 species
GUGUUGUGGCUCAGUGGUAGAGCACUUGCCUGGCAUGUGUGAGGUACUGGGUUCAAUCCCCAAGGCCAUAUA